rnacentral:rRNA from 1 species
AUUGAACGCUGGCGGCAUGCCUUACACAUGCAAGUCGAACGGUAACAGGUUAAGCUGACGAGUGGCGAACGGGUGAGUAAUGUAUCGGAACGUGCCCAGUCGUGGGGGAUAACUGCUCGAAAGAGCAGCUAAUACCGCAUACGACCUGAGGGUGAAAGCGGGGGAUCGCAAGGCCUCGCGCGAGUGGAGCGGCCGAUAUCAGAUUAGGUAGUUGGUGGGGUAAAGGCCUACCAAGCCUACGAUCUGUAGCUGGUCUGAGAGGACGACCAGCCACACUGGGACUGAGACACGGCCCAGACUCCUACGGGAGGCAGCAGUGGGGAAUUUUGGACAAUGGACGCAAGCCUGAUCCAGCAAUGCCGCGUGCAGGAAGAAGGCCUUCGGGUUGUAAACUGCUUUUGUACGGAACGAAACGGCUCUGGUUAAUACCCGGGGCUAAUGACGGUACCGUAAGAAUAAGCACCGGCUAACUACGUGCCAGCCGCCGCCGUAAAAC